rnacentral:rRNA from 1 species
AACGAACGCUGGCGGCAUGCCUAACACAUGCAAGUCGAACGAGACCUCCGGGUCUAGUGGCUCACGGGUGCGUAACGCGUGGGAACCUGCGCUGAGGUUCGGAAUAACUCCCCGGAAGGGGUGCUAAUAACGGAUAAUGUCUUCGGACCAAAGAUUUAUCGCCUUUGGAUGGGCCCGCGUUGGAUUAGCUAGUUGGUAGGGUAAAAGCCUACCAAGGCGACGAUCCAUAGCUGGUCUGAGAGGAUGAUCAGCCACACUGGGACUGAGACACGGCCCAGACUCCUACGGGAGGCAGCAGUGGGGAAUAUUGGAGAAUGGGCGAGAGCCUGAUCCAGCAAUGCCGCGUGAGUGAUGAAGGCCUUAGGGUUGUAAAGCUCUUUUACCCGGGAUGAUAAUGACAGUACCGGGAGAAUAAGCUCCGGCUAACUCCGUG